AGAAUUCCGCUUCUUAUAGUUCAGACUAAGGAUCCCAUCUUGUGCCUGGUAAAUGACAAAUGGCUUCCUUGGUUUCUUGAUGGCCCAAUGAAAUGAAAGAAAAGUCCAGUCCUAGUUAGCCUUGCCUUGCUUGGAGCAGUUUUGAUCAUGCAAACAGGCCAUUAACCAACUUUGAAAUUAGUAAAUGCAAUAAUCAUGAAACAGAGUCAAAGAAGUGGGUGACUAAUGCAAGAACUCACAACCCUGAAAUUAAAGACUAAAUUCCUACAACCUCCAGGAUUCGCUCAUGACAGUCCCUAGAUGGAAAAAAAGUCACAAAGUGAGUAAUUUUGAUGGCAAGGAAGAUCCAGGAUCAAAAGUACCAGAACAUGAGAACUUUAUACAAUGGGAGCAAGUGGAGGGACCUCUGAAUUUAAGAAUCAAUAUGCCUACUAUUAUUGGGAAAACCAAAUACAUACAAGGCUGUGCUACACUGUACAGCAAGACCUCAUCAUCAUUUACUUUCAGCAGGCCUAAAUGGGAAUGAGGCCUAAAUGGGAAUCCAGGUAACUAACUGACUUCCAUCAAUGUGAAAAGAGAAGUCUAGGGCUCAAGACCAACUCAAGAUGGACUCUAAGCCAAGUUGAAAACAAACUUACCCAGUGUCACAGUUUUGUCAAUAGUUUAUCCCUUGAAAAGUAUCAUAUAAACUAUUGCCUUCUUCAAAUGAAACAACAAUUCUUUAUUGAAUCUGAAGAGAAAUAUAGUCUUGCUAUUUUGAGAGUGGGAAGAAUUUAUUUUUUUUUCUUGCCCAUCUUUGGACCACAUUUCUUUGCCAGAAUAAAACAUACUGAUAUGUGCCCCUCUGGAUUAAAAAAUUAUGACAACUUA